UACGGAAGGCAGCAGUGGGGAAUAUUGCACAAUGGGCGCAAGCCUGAUGCAGCCAUGCCGCGUGUAUGAAGAAGGCCUUCGGGUUGUAAAGUACUUUCAGCGGGGAGGAAGGCGAUGCGGUUAAUAACCGGGUCGAUUGACGUUACCCGCAGAAGAAGCACCGGCUAACUCCGUGCCAGCAGCCGCGGUAAUACGGAGGGUGCAAGCGUUAAUCGGAAUUACUGGGCGUAAAGCGCACGCAGGCGGUCUGUCAAGUCGGAUGUGAAAUCCCCGGGCUUAACCUGGGAACUGCAUUCGAAACUGGCAGGCUAGAGUCUUGUAGAGGGGGUAGAAUUCCAGGUGUAGCGGUGAAAUGCGUAGAGAUCUGGAGGAAUACCGGGUGGCGAAGGCGGCCCCUGGGACAAAGACUGACGCUCAGGUGCGAAAGCGUGGGGAGCAAACGAGGGAUUAGAUACC
rnacentral:rRNA from 1 species